GGGGUUCCAAUUGCGUGCGCGUAUGGAUGCUCCUUUCGCCGCCGCCUUUCCAGCAACUAGUUGAUGUUAUGAUGCAUCGUUGGUCCGGUGUACGACGGCGCCUGGUGCGAUUUAUGCGUCCGGAAGCCCUUUCAGCCUCCAGGCAUGUCCCCACCUGCCUCAUAGCCACCGACGCAUCUCACGGCGGGGUUCCAAUUGCGUGCGCGUAUGGAUGCUCCUAUUCGCCGCCGCCUUUCUAGCAACUAGUUGAUGUUAUGAUGCAUCGUUGGUCCGGUGUACGACGGCGCCUGAUGCGAUUUAUGCGUCCGGAAGCCCUUUCAGCCUCCAGGCAUGUCCCCACCUGCCUCACAGCGACCGAGGCAUCUCACGGCGGGGGUCUAAUUGCGUGCGCGUAUGGAUGCUCCUUUCCCCGCCGCCUUUCUAGCAACUAGUUGAUGUUAUGAUGCAUCGUUGGUCCGGCGUAUGACGGCGCCUGGUGCGAUUUAGGCGUCCGGAAGCCCUUUCAGCCUCCAGGCAUGUCCCCACCUGCCUCACAGCCACCGACGCAUCUCACGGCGGGGGUCUAAUUGCGUGCGCGUAUGGAUGCUCCUUUCCCCGCCGCCUUUCUAGCAACUAGUUGAUGUUAUGAUGCAUCGUUGGUCCGGCGUACGACGGCGCCUGAUGCGAUUUAUGCGUCCGGAAGCCCUUUCAGCCUCCAGGCAUGACCCCACCUGCCUCACAGCUACCGAGGCAUCUCACGGCGGGGGUCCAAUUGCGUGCGCGUAUGGAUGCUCCUUUCCCCGCCGCCUUUCUAGCAACUAGUUGAUGUUAUGAUGCAUCGUUGGUCCAGUGUACGACGGCGCCUGAUGCGAUUUAUGCGUCCGGAAGCCCUUUCAGCCUCCAGGCAUGUCCCCACCUGCCUCACAGCCACCGACGCAUCUCACGGCGGGGUUCCAAUUGUGUGCGCGUAUGGAUGCUCCUUUCCCCGCCGCCUUUCUAGCAACUAGUUGAUGUUAUGAUGCAUCGUUGGUCCGGUGUACGACGGCGCCUGAUGCGAUUUAUGCGUCCGGAAGCCCUUUCAGCCUCCAGGCACGUCCCCACCUGCCUCACAGCCACCGACGCAUCUCACGGCGGGGUUCCAAUUGUGUGCGCAUAUGGAUGCUCCUUUCCCCGCCGCCUUUCUAGCAACUAGUUGAUGUGAUGAUGCAUCGUCGGUCCGGUGUACGAUGGCGCCUGAUGCGAUUUAUGCGUCCGGAAGCCCUUUCAGCCUCCAGGCAUGUCCCCACCUGCCUCACAGCUACCGAGGCAUCUCACGGCGGGGUUCCAAUUGUGUGCGCGUAUGGAUGCUCCUUUCCCCGCCGCCUUUCUAGCAACUAGUUGAUGUUAUGAUGCAUCGUUGGUCCGGUGUACGAUGGCGCCUGAUGCGAUUUAUGCGUCCGGAAGCCCUUUCAGCCUCCAGGCACGUCCCCACCUGCCUCACAGCCACCGACGCAUCUCACGGCGGGGGUCUAAUUGCGUGCGCGUAUGGAUGCUCCUUUCCCCGCCGCCUUUCUAGCAACUAGUUGAUGUUAUGAUGCAUCGUUGUUCCAGUGUACGACGGCGCCUGAUGCGAUUUAUGCGUCCGGAAGCCCUUUCAGCCUCCAGGCAUGUCCCCACCUGCCUCACAGCCACCGACGCAUCUCACGGCGGGGUUCAUAUUGCGUGCGCGUAUGGAUGCUCCUUUCGCCGCCUUUCCAGCAACUAGUUGAUGUUAUGAUGCAUCGUUGGUCCGGCGUACGACGGCGCCUGAUGCGAUUUAUGCGUCCGGAAGCCCUUUCAGCCUCCANNNNNNNNNNNNNNNNNNNNNNNNNNNNNNNNNNNNNNNNNNNNNNNNNNCUUUCCCCGCCGCCUUUCUAGCAACUAGUUGAUGUUAUGAUGCAUCGUUGGUCCGGUGUACGACGGCGCCUGAUGCGAUUUAUGCGUCCGGAAGCCCUUUCAGCCUCCAGGCAUGACCCCACCUGCCUCACAGCUACCGAGGCAUCUCACGGCGGGGUUCCAAUUGCGUGCGCGUAUGGAUGCUCCUUUCCCCGCCGCCUUUCUAGCAACUAGUUGAUGUUAUGAUGCAUCGUUGGUCCAGUGUACGACGGCGCCUGAUGCGAUUUAUGCGUCCGGAAGCCCUUUCAGCCUCCAGGCAUGUCCCCACCUGCCUCACAGCCACCGACGCAUCUCACGGCGGGGUUCCAAUUGUGUGCGCGUAUGGAUGCUCCUUUCCCCGCCGCCUUUCUAGCAACUAGUUGAUGUUAUGAUGCAUCGUUGGUCCGGUGUACGACGGCGCCUGAUGCGAUUUAUGCGUCCGGAAGCCCUUUCAGCCUCCAGGCACGUCCCCAC
rnacentral:lncRNA from 1 species